UUUGCAACACAUCAUUUUGGAACACAUCAUCCUCCUGGGACACGGAGGUGCCCAGUGUGAGCCCCUGUUUUGAGCACACGGCCCUUGUGUGGCUGCCCUGCUCGGUGGCCUGGUUGCUGGGGCUCUGCGAGGCCUGCAUUCUGGCUCACAGGGACGACCGGGCCAACUCGUACAGCGGGCUCUUUCUCACUAAGCUGGCUCACCCACUGGAC
rnacentral:lncRNA from 1 species